ACAAACGAACAAUAGGUCAAAUUUAUUAGCCGGGAUAAUGGGCGGCGGAUAUUAGCGCCCGAACCGCAGCCUCCCAAACCCGAAAUCUAACGAAGCCGCAAUUAGCAGACGCUCCCCGCUCCUCCCAGGCCCGGGUCGCUUCCCGGCCGCCGCGCGGGGCCGACAGGACGCUCGGCUUGCGAAAUUGUCCCUUGCUGAGGGUUUUUUCGAUUUCUACCAAUUUUUUUUCAUCUGAGCAAAAAUCAAACCUUAUGAAUUCUUUCGAUUACAGUGGAGUUGGAACCCUGAACGAUCCUGAGGAAUCUGUGGAAGCGUCUUGGACACUCGCCGCGAGAGCAACGAAAGGGGCGUACCUUGGGGCGCAAGCCCUGUGCUCCCUGCGCGCGGGGUGAGGGGAGCUUCGUAGCGCGCUCUGCGCUCGCCUGGACUCUGACCCGCGUGGGGAGAAUUCGCCCCUACCCGGGCUUCGGCCACUUUGAAGACACUCCCUGACUUGCUCCCGGCUGACUGAGUCGUGACUCGCAGAUUCCUCUACUAAAUUUGACUUCGUUUCAACACUUUUGUUGGGCAAAUUACAUUAAGAUGGAUGUUGCAGAUGCUGCUGCGGCAGAGAGGACUGUGUGUAGUCCCGUGGGAUGCUGAGGAGAGCUCCCAGGCUCGUGCGGAGUGCCCACAGCUCAGCAUCCCCCAGGCUGCCUCUCCCAGACCAACAGCAAGCUACUAAUUUAACGGGUUCAGAAGAGCUUGGAUUUAAAUCACAAUAACACCGCGGGAAGAUGAAUGACAGUGCUAUUGAAUGUGGCUAAAAUUGGAUACUUCAGCACAGGAUGAGCCCCAAGAGAGGCCUGGAGACUGACCACUGGUUCCGACAGUCUUCAAAGACGAUGGUGUUCAUGAGGACAGACAUCAUCUAGGAGACAGAGAGUCAAGCCAAGACAAUGAGGCCUUGGUUCGGAGCUCCACCCGCCCCCCUCACCAGGGUUUCUGUGUGCUUGCCUGUCACCCCUACAUUUUGCCAUGAGUCACAAGGACUCCUCCUGGACAAACAGCUUUGACUUGGGAAGCUUAUCAUGCUGCCUGCAGGGCCUCUUGGCCAAGCCUUCAGCUCCCUGGGUAAGACUUUAUGGGCAGAAGUCAGGGGCUGCAGGAUCAACAGGGUCAGUCCUGCUUCUCAGCCUGGUUUGUGUUCCUCUCUGCUAGGACACUAGGCAAAAGCCCGGCUCAUCUUUCUGCUUUUCAUUCUACCGAAGAGGUUGGUGAAGUGUUAUGGGGGAUUGAGGGGGGAGGUAGGAGGGCAGGGGGCAACAUCUCUCUGGCCCCUUUUGGAGAGAAGGAAUGGGACUGGUUCCAUGGGCCUUGGUGUCUCCUAUUUCCCGCUGGCUCAGGUCGUUAAAGAUACCUCAUUUAUUCAUUCUUCAUUCCCUCCCUCCCUCCCGCCUAUGUGUAUGUACUCAUCCAUUCUCUUAAAUUCAAAGGCUGCAGAACAUCUGGGGAGGGAAGAGAACUCAGGCCUCUACCACAGACUCCCCCUUGGGGACCUAGCCUUUUCCUAGGGGAUACCUCCCAACAGUGGUGUGAAGCACUUUGGGCAUGUGGCAGAGGGAAGGAUGCCUCUGGGCUCUGGGUCCUCAGGGGAGAUGCCACAGAGUAGGUUAUAUUUGGAGUUCACCAUACAUGUAUUCUGAACAGAGAAAGUAGCCAAAAAAAAAAAAAAAA